GAUGAACGCUAGCGGCAGGCUUAAUACAUGCAAGUCGAGGGGCAGCAUGACCGUAGCAAUACGGUUGAUGGCGACCGGCAAACGGGUGCGGAACACGUACACAACCUUCCUUCGAGCGGGGAAUAGCCCGGGGAAACCCGGAUUAAUACCCCAUAGUAUAUUGAAGAGGCAUCUCUUUACUAUUAAAGAUUUAUCACUUGAAGAUGGGUGUGCGGCUGAUUAGCCAGUGGCGGGGUAACGGCCCACCAAGGCAACGAUCAGUAACUGGUGUGAGAGCACGACCAGUCACACGGGCACUGAGACACGGGCCCGACUCCUACGGGAGGCAGCAGUGGGGAAUAUUGGACAAUGGGCGAAAGCCUGAUCCAGCCAUGCCGCGUGGGU
rnacentral:rRNA from 1 species